rnacentral:rRNA from 1 species
UUGCCAACUGCCGUACCGAAUCCGCACACAGCUCAUUACAACAGCGCGUAGUAGCCACUCUCAUUGGAGUUUCCACGUGAGGACUGCAUAAACCAGUUAGUAGCACGGUAUUAGGGGAGCAUAGCUAUUUCAAAAUGGUUGGCUACUUCGGCUGGUUACACGUUUCAAGCCAGAUACGUGCCAUGGCGCUCUGUUGUGGUACGUGGCUUGGGAGUGUCCGCAUGCUAAUAAGCAGUCCAGUGCCCUGCAUGUCAAGUUGCAAACGCAGAACGAGAGUAUUGUGAACGUGGAAAGCGGAGCUUUGAAAGCGAUUGGGGAGAGUGCUACCCGCUGACCUAUCAGCUGUAGAUCUGGGCAGGGCCCUGCUAUGGCCAUGACGGGUAACGGGGAAUCAGGGUUCGAUUCCGGAGAGGGAGCCUUAGAGACGGCUGCCACAGCUACGGCAGGCAGCAGGCGCGCAAAUUGCCCCAUGCUGGCCCAUUGAGGCAGCAACGAUCAGUGGCAGCUACAUCUUUCCUAAGGAUUGGUGUUGUUGCAGUGGGUGGUAUUUCCAUAACCCACGGACGUUAGUGGAGGGCCAGUUCUGGUGCCAGCAGCCGCGGUAAUUCCAGCUCCACUGGCGUCUAUGAAUGCUGCUGUUGUUAAAAAGCUCGUAGUUAGAAGUUGUGCUGACCAUUGUCCUGUAGCUGUGUCUCGAACGGGGAUUGCACGUCGCUGGCACACUGUUGCUGCGAUCUCGUUCCAUGUUUCUGAGACUCCGCAUUGAUCAGGCUGGUGCUCGGCGCAACGUUUGCGUGUUGGGGUUAAGACCUCUGCGGAAGCUUCUCUUAACUGGGUUGCGGAAGCAGGCUACGCUUUGAGUUCGAUAAAGCAGAACGAGGUCGCCCGUGUGUGUUCACGAAGAAAGCAAACUGCCUCAAAGAGACCCAUCCGUUGGGCGAAUGUUUAUAUGCUUGGUACGACAGUUGAACGACCUACGGGUCAUGAGUUUGCUGGUUUGGAUGGCAAGCAGGCCAAUCCAUUGUGGCACUGACCGUGUUGGAAAGGGAGGCUGCGGGGAAGUCAGCGACUUCUUUUUUCUCUUGAUCUGACAUGGAGCCGCUCUAUCGGGAUUAAGAGGGCUGGUUGGUGGGGAGAGUAUUGCGACGCGAGAGGUGAAAUUCAAUGACCGUUGCAAGACUACCAGUAGCAAACGCGCUUCUCAAAGCCGCCUUCAUUAAUCAAGAACGAGAGUGCAGGGCUCGAAGACGAUCAGAUACCAUCGUAGUCUGCACCGUAAAAACUGUCUGCCCAGGCCCGCAUAAUAUUGAACAGUUGUACGCGGGCCAACCUCCCAUAAAGAGAAAUCUGAGCGAUCAGGUUCAGGGGGGAGUACAGUAGCAAGACCGGCACUUAAAGGAAUUGACGGAAUGACACCACAAGGUGUGGAAUAUGCGGCUUAAUUUGACUCAACACGGGAAAAGUUAUUACAUCAGGACUAAUGCAGGACAAACCGAUUGAAGCUCGUUUUGGAUAGUUAGGAUGGUGGUGCAUGGCCGUUCCUGGUUGGUGGAGUGAUCUGUCUGGUUGAUUCCGAUAACGAACGAGAUCCUUAACUCUAAUUAGCGUUGGGCUCGCAAGUAUAAGUAGGGCGCGCGAUGGCAGUGAUUUUUAAUGCUGGUCGUGUUCCUGAGAGACCAACUAGGG